rnacentral:rRNA from 1 species
CCGUAGCCUGGUAGCGGGGGGUAACUAUUGGAAACGAUAGCUAAUACCGCAUGAAAUUUGCUUAUCGCAUGAUAAUUAAUUGAAAGAUGCAAUUGCAUCACUACCAGAUGGACCUGCGUUGUAUUAGCUAGUUGGUGAGGUAACGGCUCACCAAGGCGACGAUACAUAGCCGACCUGAGAGGGUGAUCGGCCACACUGGGACUGAGACACGGCCCAG